UACGGAGGGGGCAAGCGUUAUUCGGAAUUAUUGGGCGUAGAGGGCGCGUAGGCGGCUAGAUGUGUCAAAGGUGAAAUCCCUCGGCUCAACUGAGGAACUGCCUUUGAAACUGUCUGGCUUGAGGCCGGGAGAGGGUAGCGGAAUUCCCAGUGUAGCGGUGAAAUGCGUAGAUAUUGGGAGGAACACCAGUGGCGAAGGCGGCUACCUGGACCGGUUCUGACGCUGAGGCGCGAAAGCGUGGGUAGCAAACAGG
rnacentral:rRNA from 1 species